rnacentral:lncRNA from 1 species
GUGGGAAUCAUCCUGGAGUGUAUGGGGGCUGGGAUGGCUGCCACAGGACGGCAUGGGCCCUCGGAUGGGCAUGCGGGCCCGGAGGGGCGGGCUGUUUGCUGUACUGGAUCUGCUGUGGGGGGAGGAAAUAAUGUGCUUCUGUCCUGCAAGGACCCAGCAGAGGACUGAAAGAACAGAGAGAAGAGAAUAACAGGUGCUGCUCCUGAGAAGCCAGGGCCACGGAGGGAGGGGCCUCAGAACCUGUUCCGGGUUGCCUGACCAGUGGGUGGUACAGCGGGCCCAGCGCUGGUGCACCGUGGAGGUCAAAGGUUGCCCCGCACACGCCCCAUCUGUGGCUUCAGCCUGCAGCUUGGGAAGGGAAGGCUCUUCCCCAUCCUGCCAUCCUCCACAGCAUGGGCUCCUCCUCUGCUUAGAUGUGCAGGACACUCCAACCACAGCACGCGGUUCUUGUCCUUAUUCCACUGAAUGCUCAAGCCUUUGCAUACUUCAUUGCUACCUACCCCAAGAGAAGACGAAUCGAUGCCUUUGCUAUUGGGCGAGUGCUGUGAGUCUGAUGUAGAGGGUCUUUAAGAGAAGGUUUUACUUGUUCUCAAACUGCUCAGAUACUUGGAGUAAAUUCAUGCUGACCAAGGCUGUCCUCAUUGCUUCAUUGUUAUUUGUAUCAUACUUUUAAAUACAUCAUUUCUGUGGGUAACAGUAACUCAAGAAAAACAUCCUAGGCUUCUCCACUGCCUCCACCUGCCCUACAUCUAUAGCCUAAGGGCUCAGACUCACCUGCCCCAGGUCGGGAUCCAGGCAGGGAACACGACAGUGGUCCUGCGGUCUUCCGCACAUUGAAAACUUGGUUUUCCUCCACACAUUUCAUUCCAGUGUGAUAGAGAUUCUUACCACAUGUAAAUAAAUAAAUAAAGUGCAGUGAUUAGGAGAGUAGCCAUAUCAGAUAAACAAGGGGGAAUUCUGUUACCAAGGGACAAUCAGUCAUUGUGGUUGGGCCAUCAGCUCAGUCUUGGGAAGGGCACGAGGGAUUUUGACUUUGCUGUAAGCACUUGUGGUUGCAAAACCCUUCUCCGCGUCCAAGGAUCUGUCACGACUGCCACAGUUGAACAGAACAAAAGUUUGGAUUUUUUUUUUCAUUCUGUCCAACACUUUAGAAAACUAUGUAUAUGACAUUUUUUUUAGAUCCAAUGCAGUAUGGAUAUUUAAUUCAAAUCUGUAUUACGAGUAUAAAAAUAUUCCAAUCAGUAAAUUCAAUGCAGAAAGAUAAAUAUAUUGUUACAUGUUUGUACAAAACCCCUUUUUACAUUUGCUUUGGUACUGAAGAUUGGAUGAAUCCAGGGGUGCUUAAUCACUGAGACACAUCUCCAACCCUUUUUAUUUCUUGUUAUUUUGAGACAGUGCCUAGAUGAGUUGCUGAAGAUGAUCUUGAACUUGUGGUUCCUCCUGCCUCAGUCUCUCAAGUCACUGGAAUUACAGGCAUGCACCACUAUGCCUGGCUGUUUAUAACACUUCUUUCGUUGAACAAGUUUAUCUGAGAGAAAACAGCUCUUCAAGUUUUCAACGCGUGUCUUCAUGUUUCUGCACAAAUGCUCGUGCUUUUGAUCCUGACCAUCAGCAAAGCUGCAAAGUACCUGGAGCAUCCUUAAUUGAUAAGUCAUUUUACUUUGUUGUCAUUGCAAGUGUUUUGUCUCCUUGUUUUUGUGGAUGAAGUAGGAGGUUUUGGCUGUGUUCAGUCAACUGAUAGAAUUUAGUGUAAAAUUGAUUAAAUGCAGCUCCAAAUUACCAGA